UUUUUUUUUUCUUUCUGCUUAUGAUGGAUUCUGCUUGGGUUCUAUCUCAAAGAAGGAUGUGUCUGUCUAUCGGAAUGAAAACUAGCAAUUUAAAUGACUGUGUCCGGUUGUAUAGUGAAAGCGGGGUCAAAAGGGCAGCCUGGAGUACGAAGCAUCCCACGUUUAUGCAGGGUCCGGAGAAGGGCCGCACCCAAAGAGGGUGUGAUGUAGGCAGCCUACCCGGAUGCUUUCGUAAAUUUUUCAUUUUGCCUGUUAGGAUUGCUGAUCUUGUUUAUUAUUUGUUUAUAGUUAUCUCCUCUCUUUGAAUUGGUGAUUGUAUUGACUAUUCUGAUUGUUUUGUGGGUGGAAUGGUUAAUGGUGGGUGGUUAAGCUGUAGUCACUAGAAUUAGUUUUUACUAUUAGAAGUCUUGUGCCAACUAUUUGACUGUGAGAAAUGAGAUGCUACUCCUGAUACUUUCAAGUCUUUGCUCAUAUUUGUCUUGGUGACCAUGAAUAAUUUUGGACUAAUUUCCUCCAUUAGCUCAGGAACGGUAAGAACAUGUUAAAGUUUGUUGUUACUAGUUAUAGUUCGCUUCUGACCACCCAGUAGUUACCAUGGAAUGCAAGUUCUGUAGUGACAUUGCAAACUCGUAGGAUUGUUGUUAAAAGUGAACAAGAAACAGUGAAUGGAGCAAGCCAAAUUAGUACCCUUUGUCUCAUGAUUUGUUAUCAAAACUCUUACCAAAAGAGACACUACUAACUGAUAAAAAUGUUAUUCAAUUGAUCUUUGAAUUGCUAAUUUUUGGUAACAAUCUCUGAGAAAUUGAGAAAAGACUAUAUUUUUAUCUGAGGUUCGUGCAAUUUUAUUACUGAUAUAAGCUAAAAGAAGUUUACCCAAGCAAUUUGUCUCUGUGGUUAGAUAGUGAAUUGCAGUGCAUAUUUGUUCCAUGAACUAAAGCAACCCAGAGCGUAGUCUUGUGCUGCCAGAAAGUAGUGUAAUUCUAAUUCAUAUGUGAAAAUGCAAUUCAAGUGGAAAAAUGAUAUAUUCAAGCACCUUUGAACUCGCUGGAUUAGCUUUUCUUAUGGUCUAGGGGAGCCUAUUUUGAAUGGCAAUAUUUGUCACCUUUGUAUGACAUUUUGACUGUGUUUGUCAUGACUUGCCUCUUCACCAUUUAAAUGCCAGUACAAGCCUGGUCGCAUUGUUUUAUCGAGGUUCAGUCCUCCUAGAAUCAGAUUAAGGGAAUGCCGGCAUGGCCCAGCGGUUGCUUCCCCUAGUUUGCAGGGCAGGCUUAUAUGAACUAGACUCUCAUCAGACAAGUUAAAUUCAUGAGUCUCUUCUUAAAUAAGUGAACUCUUAUAUGAAAACUCUUCUGUGUUCCAGUGAUGGAUGAUAAACUGCCUUUGAAACUAGUCAUGUGACAAGAAUGAAAAAUAGCGCAUUUCUUUGCUCAGCUUAUAUCAUUCACAAGACUGGCUCACUUGCAGCAUAUUACAAGCUUCCUCUUAAUCGUGUGGUUGUGUUUCAUGAUGACAUGGAUUUACCAUGUGGAGUUCUUCGUCUUCAUCCCAAGGGAGGUCAUCACAGCCAUAAUGGGUAUGAACUGAAUCCUUCUCCAUCUAAAUCUACUUAAAAAAAGGAAAAUUUUUUUAAUUCAAUGCCAUGAAACCAUCUAUCUGUUCAUUUUCAAUCCGACAGUCCAACCAAUUGUCUAUAUA